GGAGGCCACUGCUAUUGGGGUUCGACUAAGACAUGCGAGUCGAGAGGGUUCGGCCCUCGGCGCACGGCUCAGUAACACGUGGCUAACCUACCCUCGGGACGGGGAUAACCCCGCGAAAGUGGGGAUAAUACCCGAUAGAUGGGAAAACCUGGAAUGGUUUCCCAUCCAAACCCUGCGGGGCCCGAGGAUGGGGCUGCGGCCGAUUAGGUUGUUGGUGGGGUAACGGCCCACCAAGCCUACGAUCGGUACGGGCAGUGAGAGCUGGAGCCCGGAGAUGGGGACUGAGACACGGCCCCAGGCCCUACGGGGCGCAGCAGUCGCGAAACCUCCGCAAUGCGCGCAAGCGUGACGGGGGAACCCCAAGUGCCAAUGGGCACACCGCUCAUUGGCUGUUCUCCAGUGUAAAAAGCUGGAGGAGAAAGAGGAGGGUAAGACCGGUGCCAGCAUCCGCGGUAAUACCGGCUCCUCGAGUGGUGGCCACUCUUACUGGGCCUAAAGCGUUCGUAGCCGGCCUGGUAAGUCCCUGGGUAAAUCCGGCGGCUUAACCGUCGGAAUUCUGGGGAUACUGCCAGGCUUGGGACCGUUAGAGGCCAGGGGUACUCCCGGGGGAGGGGUGAAAUCCUGUAAUCCCGGGGGGACCACCAGUGGCGAANGCGCCUGGCUGGGGCGGAUCCGACGGUGAGGGACGAAACCCAGGGGAGCGACCCGGAUUAGAUACCCGGUUAGUCCUGGGCGUAAAGGAUGCGGGCCAGGUGUCGCGACUGCUACGAGCAGUCGCGGUGCCGAAGGGAAGCCGUUAAGCCCGCCGCCUGGGGAGUACGGUCGCAAGGCUGAAACUUAA
rnacentral:rRNA from 1 species